rnacentral:misc_RNA from 1 species
CAAUGUGCCCAUCCAUUGCUCCAACGAAUGGCCUUGCAAAUAUCUUCUCCAGUUUUACUGCAUUCAGAGCACGAACAUAUUCCACUGCCUUCUCUUGAUGUCGAAGGCUGGGAUCGAAGUUCCGAAAAACUCUCUGAAGGUCCUGACUGCGUUCACGAGUAAAAUCAUCCGUAGACCGAGAUAUAACUUUCAACCUCAUAGUGAUAUCUUCAACUUCAGCGUAAGCAGAAUUGAUUAACUAAUAUACCGGUAAUGACGGAGGAAGGUGUAAUAAAUUAUCCGGCGGGAGAGUGGUGGUUCUUCGGCAGACUUAUCCGAAGAAGAACCCCGGCAAGGGAAAUUUGAAGCUAGGUGUAACUUCGGCAAG